AUGACAAUGUCUGUCGGUGUGUUGGCUUGGAAUGUCAGGGGGCUCAAUAACCCUACUAGGCGUAACUCGGUCCGUUUAUUCCUGCAAACUUGCAAUGCUUCACUUGUUUGUCUUCAAGAAUCUAAGCUGGCCUGGGUGAAUGUUGUGGUUGUUGGGCAAACUCUUGGCCCAUCUUUCGAUGGCUUUGAUUUUCUGCCAGCCAAGGGUACAAGAGGGGGGAUCCUUUUUGCAUGGAAA
rnacentral:rRNA from 1 species